rnacentral:snoRNA from 1 species
AGAUCCUUCUGACCCUCCACUGUGGACUCAAUAGCAGGGAGAUGAAGAGGAGAGUGACUGA